UGUGGCAGAUUAGUGCAGUAAAUUUAAGAUUUUCAUAAAAAGCAAGCCUUUCUUUAGAA
rnacentral:tRNA from 1 species